rnacentral:rRNA from 1 species
GACGAACGCUGGCGGCGUGCUUAACACAUGCAAGUCGAACGAAAAGAGGGAAAGAGCUUGCUCUUUCCGGAAUUGAGUGGCAAACGGGUGAGUAACACGUAAACAACCUGCCUUCAGGAUGGGGACAACAGACGGAAACGACUGCUAAUACCGAAUAAGUUCCAAGGGCCGCAUGGCCCAUGGAAGAAAAGGUGGCCUCUACCUGUAAGCUAUCGCCUGAAGAGGGGUUUGCGUCUGAUUAGCUGGUUGGAGGGGUAACGGCCCACCAAGGCGACGAUCAGUAGCCGGUCUGAGAGGGUGAACGGCCACACUGGAACUGAGACACGGUCCAGACUCCUACGGGAGGCAGCAGUGGGGAAUCUUCCGCAAUAGGCGAAAGCCUGACGGAGCAACGCCGCGUGAGUGAUGACGGCCUUCGGGUUGUAAAACUCCGUGAUCCGGGACGAAAAGGCAGAGUGCGAAGAACAAACUGCAUUGACGGUACCGGAAAAGCAAGCCACGGCUAACUACGUG